rnacentral:rRNA from 1 species
AUUGAACGCUGGCGGCAGGCCUAACACAUGCAAGUCGAACGGUAGCACAGAGAGCUUGCUCUCGGGUGACGAGUGGCGGACGGGUGAGUAAUGUCUGGGAAACUGCCCGAUGGAGGGGGAUAACUACUGGAAACGGUAGCUAAUACCGCAUAACGUCGCAAGACCAAAGUGGGGGACCUUCGGGCCUCACACCAUCGGAUGUGCCCAGAUGGGAUUAGCUAGUAGGUGGGGUAAUGGCUCACCUAGGCGACGAUCCCUAGCUGGUCUGAGAGGAGGGACGGCCACACUGGGACUGAGACACGGUCCAGACUCCUACGGGAGGCAGCAGUGGGGAAUAUUGCACAAUGGGCGCAAGCCUGAUGCAGCCAUGCCGCGUGUAUGAAGAAGGCCUUCGGGUUGUAAAGUACUUUCAGCGGGGAGGAAGGCGGUGAAGUUAAUAACUUCACCGAUUGACGUUACCCGCAGAAGAAGCACCGGCUAACUCCGUGCCAGCAGCCGCAGUAA